rnacentral:rRNA from 1 species
UACAGAGGGUGCGAACGUUGCUCGGAAUUACUGGGCGUAAAGGGCGCGUAGGCGGUCUGUUAAGUUCGGUGUGAAAGCCCCCGGCUCACCUGGGGAACUGCGCCGGAAACCGACAGACUCGAGUACCGGAGAGGAGGGUGGAAUUCCUGGUGUAGCGGUGAAAUGCGUAGAUAUCAGGAGGAACACCGGUGGCGAAGGCGGCCCUCUGGACGGAUACUGACGCUGAGGCGCGAAAGCGUGGGGAUCAAACAGG